UUAGGUGGUUAUAGCACGAGGGUUCCACCUCUUCCCAUUCCGAACAGAGAAGUUAAGCCUCGUCACGCCGAUGGUACUGCGUAAUUGUGGGAGAGUAGGUAGCCGCCGUUU
rfam:Bacteroides reticulotermitis JCM 10512 DNA, contig: contig00061.